AUACAGAGCAUCAUGAAAAGAACCAACUUUCAUAUAACUGAUAAUUUUGUAUGCCACCAUUCUAAUUAACAACGAACAGAAUUUCUCUUCUAUUUGGACUACAAUCAAUACAGGAUGAGGCAGGAUGAGACUAAUCUCCUACAGAGACAAUCAAGGAUACCCAUCUGCAAACUGGUGCUGUGGAAGAAGACCCAACUGUGAAUAUUGUCUAUGGGAAGUUCUUAUAGGACUGCUUUUUUCCCAAAGGGAACAUGGUAAGAACUAGCAUUUCUGGAGGAUCUUUGGGACUUAGCUGUGAAGCCAUCAGCACCUACAGUGUUUCUCUUAUCUCAGCAAUGUAUAUGUGGACUUCAACUCCCACAAUUUCCUAACUGGCUCAGAAAGUUUGGAGUUUAAAUUUAAACAAUUUAAAAGUUGCCAAGUUUUGGAAACACUGGUAUAAUUUAUUUUUGGAAACAUUGUGUUAUUCUUAAUGUUUUGUUAUUUUAUUAUUUUUUAAAUAAUUGUUAAAUAUUAACAAAUCACCUAGAGUCCUGCAGGCUGAGGCAAGGAUAAAUUGGAAAAAUGCAUUAUUGAGUUUUCCUUUUAAGUUGAAGUAAGGAAGGUACAAAUGUUAGUUUCUUUGGCUAAUUCACUAGAAAUUCUUCAUAUUGUAUAUAUUUGUCCUAUCAUUUAAUUUUUCUUAAUAUUCCUUCCCUGGAUUUCCAUAUUUCCAUACUCAUCAUUGUUCACCCAUAUCAGCAAAUCUUGCAUUAUUGCUAGAGUUGCAUUUCUUGUUUAUGACUACAGCAAAAAAAAAACAUUGUAAUAAAUAUGCUUAUCAUUUCAGAUUUUGCAGAAAGUGUAAAAAAGCUGAGAUUUAGCCAAUUAUUUUAAUCUGCCAGCAGAAAUCUUGCUAUUUUUUUAAAAUAAGGGAAUAAUGUAAAGAAACGUCAAGUGGAAUAACCAUGGAGUAGCGUUUAUUUUAUCUCUGACUGUAAUAAGAAAAGAGAGCAUUUGAAAGAGGUAAGCAUAUAAGUAUUUUUUUUCUUAUAUUCCCUUUUUAAAGAGGGUAUUAGUUCUUUUAAGUUCUUUAAAAACUUGUCUACUAGUUUAGAAAUAAAAAAGGCCACGUUGAGGUUUAAUAAUUGUUGGUAAUUGGCAGCAAAAAGGAGUUGGAGUCCAGUGAACAGUCUGAGGAGGCUGCAAGUUUCCUUUGUGAACAGAUUUCCACCCUUAGUAUAACAAGGGCAGGUUAUCUUUCUGUGCUUAAGGGCUGCUGGUGGUUGUGUUCCACCUGCUGAGAGGCACAGAAGAUUGUGAGAUCAUCAGAGGGAGGCAGGGAUUUUUACUCCUUUGUAAGCUUUUGGGCUUCCCCCUCCUCACUUUCCUGCAAAUAAAUAGAUCUUAUGUCUAUUGGAGGUUUAACUUAUUUUUAUCUAAUGCCCCAAAUUGUGGUUCAGUGGCAUAAUCUUAAUUCUAGUGCUGCUCUGAUUAGCAUACCGUAGUAGUACUCCAGUACAAACUGCAGUAUGGUCCUGUGUGUAUCAUCAGGUCAGGACUCUUGCAUUUAUUGCUAGUUUAGUGUGUAUAUAAUUGUACAACAGUAAACGUCAUGUGAAUAUAUUAUAGCAAACCUUUCCUACCCUGAUAAAUCAAGAAACCCAAGUAUUAAAUUAACAGUGUGUUUUUGCUAGAGUUCAAUUAUUAAAACUAUUUUUAAAAAGUACCAUAAUAAUAUGCUAUGCAGAAUGAUUGUUAGCAUAAUGCCCAAUAACAUUUCCUAAUCUGACUGCUGUAAAGAAUUACAGUAACUCAGAUUGUAAAACUCUGUUAAGCCUUUAUGGCUUAUAUAUACACUCACCCUGCAUUAUUACUAAAAGCAGUGCUUUUUUUCUAAAAAAAAAAAAAAGUGCUGGAACUCAUACACGUCAUACAACCCGCCUUGCCUACCCUACAAGGUUCCAUCCAAAAAAGGUGUCGGAACUCCGUUCUGGGCGUUCUAUGAGAAAAAGAAUCCUGACUAAAAGAAUACAUAAUCCAGGGUGAUUCUGUAGUUUUGGUUCCAGGGUUAGUCCCUGAGGAAGGGCUUUAUUUCAGGUGUUUACUUUGUAUGUUACAAGACCAUUGGGACUACAUAGGAAAGAGAGUGCUAGUGAAUAUAAGAAAAAAAUAUGAAUAGAAAAGUAGAGGAUUUCAGACAAGGUUUGAUAGAGAAAUACUUAAUGGAGUCUACUGGUUGUGAAUGAAGAUGGAGGAGGAAUGGACACAAGGUACACAUUAGAAGUGGAACUACCUGCUUUGGUAACCAGUUUUGUUUUGGGACAUGAUGUAAACCUGCCUUAGAUUCUUCAGCCCUCAGAAGGUUUAUCAAAGGUGAGCAGAAUGGCUGGCACUGCUGACAGGGAAGAGUUGGAGGGUGAGAAACACAAACUAUGACCACUAUUAUCUACAAAGUGGCAGCAACAAGGAUAUUUGGAGUAGGAAUGGUGAACAAAAAAAACAAAACACAAAUCCCAGAUUCCCUAGAAUAAUCCUGGCCCAAUAUUGGGCACUGAGAGAACCUUUGUCAGAUCCAGAAAGAUUUCCCUGAUGGGAUGAAAGAUUUCGUGUCUGCAGGUGCCAGAACUGAGAAGUGCUGCCAGGAUGGGUAAUUGCAGCUGCAAUUAAACCCAGUCUGGAAAGCAUCUGAAGAUUUAUUUUAACACCAGAUGAUCUGGAUUGAAAUAUAAGAGUACAUUCUCUGAGCAAGAGUUAAGGAAAGCUGAGGUCAGCUUCCCAUCCCUUACCAGGCAAGAGAACAGGAGUGAGAUGGAGGGAUUUUAUGAGUUUUAAAGUUCUCUGGAAAGUUGAAGGCCCUAGGAUGUAGGUGAUGGGAAUUAGAAAAGUGGUAAUGGAAUUGAGCCACGUGGGGCAGCUCUGCAGAUGAAACAGCAGAGACUCAAUAAUAAGAAAAUGGAACUAGAGCAGGGAAUACUGAGUGUAUUGUUGGGGAAGAAAGGGGAUACAUACAUUAGUUCAGGUUCAUUCUAAGCCAAUGAUCCCCCUCCUAGAGCCAAGAUAGUAGGUUGAAGGGUAUUUUAGUCUUCAACUGUUGGUAAAUGUCAGGUUUCCCUACAACAAAACUGCAUCUGACACGGUGAUGGACAAAUGACUGGAUCUGAUACUUACAUAGGGCCUAGGGGAGGGUGUAGAGUCAAAACCUUCAGGACGGUGAGCACGACAUAAUUGGAGAUCUGCCAUUUUUGUACGUGUGUGCUGUGAUCAUUCACAGAGACAGGGAGCACUAUCUCAAAUAUAAUCAGAUGCAAGUGCCUAUAAAUGGAAUGAGGACACACUGACAAACUAGGGGUGUUGCUGGUGUCACAACCCUCUGGAUCUCAUCACAGUUCUGGUGCUGGAGUUCCUAAAUGUUGCUUGAAUAACUUCAUUUUCCAUGCCCUGGAAGAGAAAUCUGGUGUAGCUUGUAAGUUCAUAUUCACAAGCUUGUCACAAGAAAUUGCAGAUCCAAAAUACAGGAUAUAUUUGGUCUUCACAUUGGAACAGAUGACAUUAACAGAAGACAUUAAUACCUUGCCUUUGCCUUGAUCAAAUCACCUUGUUAAAUUACAGAUCAUAGAUAAUUUAAAAUUCCUGCAAGAGUAGUAGACCUAUUACAAUGUUGUAAAUUAAGAAAAGGGAGUGCUGUAUUUAUGUGCCACGAGUGCUGGGGGAAAGUUGGGAUACAAAACAUAUAUUGCUAUGCCAGACUAAGCUAGAGACAUUAUGGAAAUUUUGAAUGAGUGCCUGUGACUAUAUAUGAGAACUAUCAUCAUUAAGUGAGCAUUAACAUAACAUAUUAAUGUUUUUUUUGAAAAAAUGGAUUUGUUUUUAUGUACUUUUCCUGUUAUUCAUUGCCAAGUAUGUCUGGAUCGGAGCAAGAGAGAGAUUUUGUUAAAUAAAAUAGAAAAAAUAUUAAGUGACUUUUUAAGAACAGUUUAAAAUUUAAAAACUUUUUAAAAUUUUUGAAUUUUAAAAAUUAUUUAAAAGUUAGCAAUGUUUCAAAAACCUCUAGCAUUUGCUCCUUCCUCUCAGGUCUGAUAUUCUAAUAUUGGACUACAAGAUUGUUCACAUGUUGAGAAGGGGAUUUUUUUGCCUUUGCCAUAAACUUGACUAUAUUUGAUCAAGGUCACCAGUCUACUUUCCUUUAAGUUGGCAAAAUAUAAAGGGGACCAACCAAGUUACACAAAAGCUCCUCUGUGCAAUGGAGAGUAUCUUUGAAUCUUCACUACAUCUUGGGCUCGGAGGCAUCUCCUCAUCAUUCCACCACAGUUGCAUGAAUGGGAUAUCUUUUAUUUAGGUAAAAAAAAUGACAUUUUUUCAUAAAGAAAUCUUGCCAUAGAAAGAGAAAAAUUCAUAUUCCUCAAUAAUUAAUAUUCUGGGGUUUGUCGUAAGUCUUGACUGAAAAAUUAUGAAUUACCUGCCAUCAAAUGUUCUGGGGAAAUCAGGAAGGGAAGGAGCCCAUGUGAAUGGAGUAAAAAAGUAUGGAAGCAUGCUCUAAAUGUAUCAAGGAUAUGGCUUGCGAUUGGUCUGUAAAACUCCAUGUAUAAAAAUACUGAACUCAAUAAAUGAUUACUUGGUAAGAAAACUUCAGGUCAUAAUUUUCCAUCCAGGUUUUACUUUCUUGGUAAAUCAUCAUUUAAUAUGCAUUUCAAGUUAAGUUAUCUAAUAAAACAAAUGUAUUUAGCGUUAAAUGCGUCCAACUCUCAAAAAACUCUUUAAAACAGUGAUAAAAAAGCAAACUCCAGGCAAUGAAUUCAAUCACUGAAACAAAUUUUCAUACAAGACAAGAAAUUGAUAUGCUAUAGUUUCAAUAACUUUUAGAACAAUUUUUAAAAACAGUGGGGAAAAAUGUCAAAUUUGUAUUUUCCCACUUUUAUCCCAUAAGUUGUCAGCAAUGGCCGAUUAUCUUGUCAGGCAACUGACUUAAGAGAUGCAGAGAACUUUAGAAAUUAAAAACAAAAUUUAAAAAAAUAACUUUUUUUUUUCAAGAAAAUAGUUCAAAAGCCACAUAAAGUGAGGCCAACCAUUUACAAGCAAAUUUUGUAACAACAAAUCUGAGGAUUUUCUUAUAUGUAUUAUCUAUCUCCCAAAAUGUAGUUAUUCAUUGCACAUUAUAACAAGAACAGAUUCAUGCAUAUACCAUGGCUAUUUUUUUCUAAUGGGCAAUUCUUUCUCAGAUAAAUAGAAAAUCACUGAGAAGUCUCAUUAUAAAGUGAGCUGUAGGCAAAUGCAGCUGUUUCUGCUAUUACAAUGGCAAGGAAAAAAUGAUUAGAUUUUAGUAGUUCUCUGAAUAUUAAAUGUGUGGUAGAUUCCAUGUCAUAGUUUCUGAAAAACAGAAACUAAAUUCCUUUUGUGUGUCAGGGCCUACGAUAUAUAUGAAAAUAUAUAAAAUUGAUGCAUACAUUUAUAAUAUACAUACAUUUUUAGGAAAGAAUGUAAAAUGAUAUAUAAUCAGGCAGAUUUUCUUUCCAGGUUUUAAAAGAGCAACACAUACCAAGGGCCACAGAAAAGUAGGGAUAUUACCCUUUUAUUUUCUAGUCAAUGUUGCUUCAUAGAUAAAAUCAAUUAAUGUUGAUUAUUUAUGCUUAAUCAAUAAAUGUAAAAAUCCUUUCUUUGGCAUUGGACAGUACUCUUCUGUUUACACUAGAAGGCCAUGCAGAGUAGUUCCUUAGGAAAUCAUUUUUCACUCUAAUACAGCAAUGCAACUUGUAAAAAUUACAAGCAUCUUCUCAAGUUAAAAAAAA